GACGAACGCUGGCGGCGUGCUUAACACAUGCAAGUCGAACGAUGAAGCUAGAGCUUGCUCUGGUGGAUUAGUGGCGAACGGGUGAGUAACACGUGAGUAACCUGCCCCGAACUCUGGGAUAACUGCUGGAAACGGUAGCUAAUACCGGAUAUGACCAAUGAAGGCAUCAUCUGUUGGUGGAAAGAAUUUUGGUUCGGGAUGGACUCGCGGCCUAUCAGCUUGUUGGUGAGGUAACGGCUCACCAAGGCGACGACGGGUAGCCGGCCUGAGAGGGUGAUCGGCCACACUGGGACUGAGACACGGCCCAGACUCCUACGGGAGGCAGCAGUGGGGAAUAUUGCACAAUGGGCGAAAGCCUGAUGCAGCAACGCCGCGUGAGGGAUGAAGGCCUUCGGGUUGUAAACCUCUUUUAGCAGGGAAGAAGCGAAAGUGACGGUACCUGCAGAAAAAGCACCGGCUAACUACGUGCCAGCAGCCGCGGUAA
rnacentral:rRNA from 1 species